AUUGAACGCUGGCGGCAGGCCUAACACAUGCAAGUCGAGCGGUAACAGAUCCAGCUUGCUGGAUGCUGACGAGCGGCGGACGGGUGAGUAAUGCAUAGGAAUCUGCCCGAUAGUGGGGGAUAACCUGGGGAAACCCAGGCUAAUACCGCAUACGUCCUACGGGAGAAAGGGGGCUCCGGCUCCCGCUAUGGGAUGAGCCUAUGUCGGAUUAGCUAGUUGGUGAGGUAACGGCUCACCAAGGCCACGAUCCGUAGCUGGUCUGAGAGGAUGAUCAGCCACAUCGGGACUGAGACACGGCCCGAACUCCUACGGGAGGCAGCAGUGGGGAAUAUUGGACAAUGGGGGAAACCCUGAUCCAGCCAUGCCGCGUGUGUGAAGAAGGCCCUCGGGUUGUAAAGCACUUUCAGCGAGGAAGAACGCCUAGCGGUUAAUACCCGCUAGGAAAGACAUCACUCGCAGAAGAAGCACCGGCUAACUCCGUGCCAGCAGCCGCGGUAAUACGGAGGGUGCAAGCGUUAAUCGGAAUUACUGGGCGUAAAGCGCGCGUAGGUGGCUUGAUAAGCCGGUUGUGAAAGCCCCGGGCUCAACCUGGGAACGGCAUCCGGAACUGUCAAGCUAGAGUGCAGGAGAGGAAGGUAGAAUUCCCGGUGUAGCGGUGAAAUGCGUAGAGAUCGGGAGGAAUACCAGUGGCGAAGGCGGCCUUCUGGACUGACACUGACACUGAGGUGCGAAAGCGUGGGUAGCAAACAGGAUUAGAUACCCUGGUAGUCCACGCCGUAAACGAUGUCGACCAGCCGUUGGGUGCCUAGCGCACUUUGUGGCGAAGUUAACGCGAUAAGUCGACCGCC
rnacentral:rRNA from 1 species